rnacentral:lncRNA from 1 species
AGGUUUUCGUGCAUUGAGAAGAUGGUCCUAGAUAAGGGUUUAAUAUCGAUUGAUGACAUUAUAGGCAUGGAUGCAGCUCCUGUUGAGGUGAGUAUGAUGUUGUAGUUGUUAUACCAGAAUUUAAAUAUGAUGUUAUUUUUAACCUAAAUAAUCUUUAUUAUUAGGUGAGGGCAGAUCAUUUUGUUGUAGGUGAAAAGAUCCAUCCAGUCGAAGUGGACCAUAAUAUCUCUCAUAGUACAGAAGUUGUUGAGGUAGUUUUUAUUGAUUUAUAGUUAAAGAUAUGAUUUUCAUAUUAUAAUAUGAAUG